rnacentral:rRNA from 1 species
GACGAACGCUGGCGGCGUGCCUAACACAUGCAAGUCGAACGGAGUAAAACGCUGAUUUGAUGGAAGCUUAGCUUCUGGAUUUUCUGUUUUGCUUAGUGGCGGACGGGUGAGUAACGCGUGAGUAACCUGCCUUACAGAGGGGGGACAACAGUUGGAAACGACUGCUAAUACCGCAUGAUGUAUGACCGAGGCAUCUCGGACAUACCAAAGGAGCAAUCCGCUGUAAGAUGGACUCGCGUCCAAUUAGACUAGUUGGUGGGGUAACGGCCCACCAAGUCGACGAUUGGUAGCCGGACUGAGAGGUUNAACGGCCACAUUGGGACCUGAGACACGGCCCAGACUCCUACGGGAGCAGCAGUGGGGGAUAUUGCACAAUGGGGGAAACCCUGAUGCAGCAACGCCGCGUGAGGGAA